UACGUAGGGCGCGAGCGUUAUCCGGAAUUAUUGGGCGUAAAGAGCUCGUAGGCGGUUUGUCACGUCUGCUGUGAAAACUGGAGGCUCAACCUCCAGCCUGCAGUGGGUACGGGCAGACUAGAGUGCGGUAGGGGAGAUUGGAAUUCCUGGUGUAGCGGUGGAAUGCGCAGAUAUCAGGAGGAACACCGAUGGCGAAGGCAGAUCUCUGGGCCGUAACUGACGCUGAGGAGACGAAAGCAUGGGGAGCGAACAGG
rnacentral:rRNA from 1 species